rfam:Homo sapiens chromosome 7, GRCh38 reference primary assembly.
GCCCUGCCUGUGGCCCCGGCUACUCCGGAGGCUGAGGCGGGAGCAGCGCUUGAGCCCGGGAGCUCUGCGCUGUAUGCGCUGUGCCCAUUGCGCGGCGACACGCAUCUGUGUUCCGCAUCGGUGUGGUGACCUCCCGGGAGCAGGGACCACCAGGUUCCCCAAGGAGUGGGGAACUGGCCCAGCUCGGAAACCGGGCAGGGCAAAACUCCUGUGCUGAUCGGUAGCGGGAUCGCGCCUGUGAAUAGCCACUGCCCUCCAGCCUGGGCAAUACAGCGAGACCCCAU